rnacentral:lncRNA from 13 species
AUGUUGCAGCCACCGGGGUCGUGUUCAAAAGGGCACAACGGAAUAAAAGAGAACCAUUGUUUCUUGUUACACGUUCAGACCAGUUUUGGGUUGUUUUCGUACAUUUUGCUCCUACUGAACACAGCCCUAAAUGAAGCCUCUGAUGUUUCUCCACCUGGUUCCUUUGUCUCUGUCUGUAGGGUGUUGAUGCCACCUCCUCUCCCUGUGUUUCUGGCCCCUGGCCCUGUGGCACGAAAGAGACCCAGGGAGACAGCAGUACCAGAGGUCGCACCCAGUCUACCACCCAGAACCCUCGGCCCUGUGGCACACAAGAGACCCAGGGAGACAGCAGUACCAGAGGUCCCACCCAGUCUACCACCCAGCGCCCUCUGCCCUGUGGCACACAAGAGACCCAGGGAGACAGCAGUACCAGAGGUCCCAGCCAGUCUACCACCCAGCGCCCUCGGCCCUGUGGCACACAAGAGACCCAGGGAGACGGCAGUACCAGAGGUCCCACCCAGUCUACCACCUAGCGCCCCUGCAUCACAGGAUUGUCCUCAGGAGGUGAAGAAGACUAAGGUAGUGGAGAAGCCUUCGUGCCUAGUACCCUACGGUGGGGACUCUUCUGAUGAGGGAGAGGACUCCUAG